rnacentral:rRNA from 1 species
CUACGGGGUGCUGCAGUGAGGGAUAUUGCACAAUGGGGGGAACCCUGAUGCAGCAACGCCGCGUGGAGGAUGACGCAUUUCGGUGUGUAAACUCCUUUUAUAUGUCAAGAAAAUGACGGUAGCAUAUGAAUAAGCACCGGCUAACUCCGUGCCAGCAGCCGCGGUAAUACGGAGGGUGCAAGCGUUACUCGGAAUCACAGGGCGUAAAGGACGCGUAGGCGGGUUGGAAAGUCAGGUGUGAAAUCCUACAGCUUAACUGUAGAACUGCACUUGAAACUUCUAAUCUAGAGUAUGGGAGGGGGAGAUGGAAUUAGUGGUGUAGGGGUAAAAUCCGUAGAUAUCACUAGGAAUACCUAAAGCGAAGGCGAUCUGCUGGAACAUCACUGACGCUAAGGCGUGAAAGCGUGGGGAGCAAACAGGAUUAGAUACCCCCGUAGUC